rnacentral:rRNA from 1 species
GGUACUGUAUCAGAAAGUGACGGCAAACUAUGUGCCAGCAGCCGCGGUAAUACAUAGGUCACAAGCGUUAUCCGAAAUUAUUGGGCGUAAAGCGUCCGUAGGUUGUUUGUUAAGUCUGGAGUUAAAGACCGGUGCUCAACGCCGGCACGCUUUAGAUACUGGCAAACUAGAGUUAUAAAGAGGUAAGUGGAAUUUCAUGUGAAGCGGUGGAAUGCGUAGAUAUAUGAAAGAACACCAAUGGCGAAGGCAGCUUACUGGUUAUAUACUGACACUGAGGGACGAAAGCGUGGGGAGCAAACAGGAUUAGAUACCCUGGUAGUCCACGCCGUAAACGAUGAUCAUUAGUUGGUGGGGGAACCCUCGCUAACGCAGCUAACGCAUUAAAUGAUCCGCCUGAGUAGUAUGCUCGCAAGAGUGAAACUUAAAGGAAUUGACGGGGACCCGCACAAGCGGUGGAGCAUGUGGUUUAAUUUGACGAUACGCGUAGAACCUUACCCACUCUUGACAUCCCUUGCAAAGCUAUAGAGAUAUAGUGGAGGUUAACAAGGUGACAGAUGGUGCAUGGUUGUCGUCAGCUCGUGUCGUGAGAUGUUCGGUUAAGUCCUGCAACGAGCGCAACCCCUAUCCUUAUUUACUAACAUUAAGUUGAGAACUAUACGGAUACUGCUCAGGUAACUGGGAGGAAGGUGGGGAUGACGUCAAAUCAUCAUGCCUCUUACGAGUGGGGCAACACACGUGCUACAAUGGCCGGUACAAAGAGACGCAAUAUGGUGACAUGGAGCAAAUCUGAAAAACCGGUCUCAGUUCGGAUUGAAGGCUGCAAUUCGCCUUCAUGAWGUCGGAAUCGCUAGUAAUCGUAGAUCAGCUACGCUACGGUGAAUAC